GGCUAUUUGGACAGGAGGAGCCUCCGCUGGCCUUCAGAGCUGGAAAGUAUGUGUACUGUGGCCACAGGCCCACCUCCCAGCCUGGGAACGGAAGCCGGGAGUCGCCAGGGAAAACAGCUAGACAAUCAGCAUUACUUUGGCUACACUGCUUUGUGCCAGAUGUCCUGGCAAGACUGAACUGGCAGUUGAGGAGACUGCAGGAGUACGACGUAUUCAUCUCAAUGCAGAAAAACAAGGGGAUCAACUUCCUCUAGCUCAAGAACAGUACAUUCAUGCAGUCAGAAUAGGAAAAUGUGCUAAAGGGCAAAGGUGAAUCAGACAUUUUCAAGCAAUAAAGAUUGCAGAAUGUUAA